rnacentral:lncRNA from 1 species
GUGUGUGUCUGGUCGUUCUCUGCACAGGGGCGACAUAGGGGUUUUCCCACAACCCUAAUUCAAUCGAUUUCCAUCAAAUUGAAGCUCCUAAUCAGUCCUAAAUCAAGUUUCAAGCACGAAUUAGUGAUCACCUCACUGAAGGGAUCACAAGGCGCUUAACAAGCUAGGUGAAGCUUGGGGAGAAAGCGGGUUGAUCGAAGCAAGUGAGAAAAGAAAAAGCGUAAUUCGGAUGCAAGGUAAGUGUAAUUUACACGCUUAUGUAGAAUACUCGUUUAUUCAAUACGUUGUAAACGGAUAACGAUUGUUUUGGAAAUAUGGAUUUUUGUUAAGAUUACCUUGUAGUGUAAUCUAAUAAUGGGAGAAAAAGGACAAAAACGGAAAUUGGUCAAAUGUCGACUAGUGUAAAUAAAGGUUAAAAGGAUACUCAUAGCGUAUGCCGAAAUGGGUUGAAUUUUGUAAGAAAAGAGUUUAAAGAAAAAGGGUAUGUUUCUAAAAUCCGGGAUGAAUGGACGUAUAAAUUGGAAAUCAAAAACGAUGUUUUGAUUAAAUAGAUGACGUUGGGCGUGUAGUCCAAACGGGUCGAAUGGUGUUGAUAACACCAUUUGACAAUAUCGACUAAUAUGGUUGUCAAGUCUUAUGCUAACAGGACCAAUUAGCAAAAUCGGAUGAUUUCGUCACUAUUGAUUGUGUGAUAAUGAAAACGAGGUAUGAAUCGGGUCUACUUGUUGAUCCGGGACAGGUAUGAUUUUAGCACCGGAGGAUGAUCAAGCACAACGAAGAACCGAACACGAUCAAGAAAUAAGCUUCCGCACUAUGUAUCGUUGUUUUGUUAAAUGACGAACUCAAACAUGUUAUCUUGUAUAGUUUUAAUUAUGUAAAUAAAGUUUAAUGAAACCCGUAUUUUCAAUGUAUUGAAAUUCUAAUUACCCGUUUAUUUUCGUAAAUUAUACGAAAAUUGUUAAAUAAUAAUAAGGGU